CAUAGAAGUAAAUCAACAACAGAAUGGCUUAAACAGAAGAAAAUACGCCUUCUGAAGUGGCCCAGUCAGAGUCCUGACCUCAACCUGAUUGAGAUACUGUGGCAUGACCUCAAGAAAGCGAUUCACACCAGACAGCCCAAGAAUAUUGCUGAACUGAAACAGUUCUGUAAAGAGAAAAUAAAACACAAUCUGGGUGCUUAAGCAGGAGAAAAUGUUAACAAUCGCUUCACACUCUGGUAAAAUUCCCCAAAACUACCAACAAGAAACAAUAAAGAAGUAAUGAGUGGAGCAAGAGAAAAAACACCAAUGUAGAG